UGCGAUUUAUAAGAUUCGAACCUGCCGCAGGUCCGGGUCUCACGCAGUGAGACAACGGAGCCGUUUACGGCGACGGCCCGUAGGGCGAGGCGAAGCCGAGUCAUCCUGCACGACCCACCA
rnacentral:sRNA from 1 species